rnacentral:rRNA from 1 species
GACAGCAGCAGCCGCGGUAAUACGGAGGGGGCUAGCGUUGUUCGGAAUUACUGGGCGUAAAGCGCACGUAGGCGGCUUGGUAAGUUAGAGGUGAAAGCCCGGAGCUCAACUCCGGAAUUGCCUUUAAGACUGCCGAGCUAGCAGGUGAGAGAGGUAAGUGGAAUUCCGAGUGUAGAGGUGAAAUUCGUAGAUAUUCGGAAGAACACCAGUGGCGAAGGCGGCUUACUGGCUCAUACUGGACGCUGAGGUGCGAAAGCGUGGGGAGCAAACAGGAUUAGAUACCCCCGUAGUCCCUGUCUCUUAUAC